rnacentral:rRNA from 1 species
UACGUAGGGGGCGAGCGUUGUCCGGAAUCAUUGGGCGUAAAGAGCUCGUAGGCGGUUCAGCAAGUCGGCUGUGAAAUUCCGAGGCUCAACCUCGGAACUGCAGUCGAUACUGCUGUGACUCGAGUCCGGUAGAGGAGAAUGGAAUUCCCGGUGUAGCGGUGAAAUGCGUAGAUAUCAGGAGGAACACCGGUGGUGUAGACGGCUUUCUGGACCGUAACUGACGCUGAGACACGAAAGCGUGGGUAGCAAACAGG